UGCACAAGAGCGUGCAAGGACACGGGGUGCACAAGGAUGCACGAGGUCAUGUGAGGACACGGGGUGCACGAGGGCGUGCAAGGACACAGGGUGCACAAGAGCACACGAGGCUGUACAAGGACCUGGGGUGCACGAGGGCGUGCAAGGAUGCGGGGUGCACAAGGGCGCACGAGGGCGUGCAAGGACACGGGACGCACAAGAGUGCACAAGGCUGCACGAGGACACGGGGUGCACGAGGGUGCACAAGGACACACGAGGGUGCACGAGGGUGCACAAGGAUAAACGUGUGCACGAGGACAGGGGGUGCACGGGGCACAAGCGGCGUUGCACGAGGAUUCACGAGGACUCACGAGGACUCACGAGGAUGCACGAGGACGAAGGGGGUCACACG
rnacentral:lncRNA from 1 species